UACAGAGGGUGCUAGCGUUAAUCGGAUUUACUGGGCGUAAAGCGUGUGUAGGCGGUUCGUUAAGUCGGAUGUGAAAGCCCUGGGCUCAACCUAGGAAUUGCAUUCGAUACUGGCGAGCUAGAGUACGGUAGAGGGCGGCGGAAUUCCGGGUGUAGCGGUGAAAUGCGUAGAUAUCCGGAGGAACACCGGUGGCGAAGGCGGCUUCCUGGACCGACACUGACGCUGAGGCGCGAAAGCUAGGGGAGCAAACAGG
rnacentral:rRNA from 1 species